rnacentral:lncRNA from 1 species
CAGGUGAGGAAACAGGGACACACCUUCCCGGAGGAGGGGCAGGGCCCCUCCGCGCGCGAGCCCCAUUGGUGUGAAAGAAGCUCCCGCGUCAGAGCUGGGAAGUGCCGGGCCGGCGGGGAGGGGAGCCCGGGCGCACGGGCCAGGCCGCGGGCUGUCCCAGGGAGCCCCGAGGGCGCGGUGCGCGGGCGCAGGUCGGGCGCAGGCGGGGUGACCCGGGGAAGGGGCGCGCACAGAGACAGAGGGAGCCAGCCGGGCCCCACGGUGUCCUCGGACGCCUCCGAAAUCUCCCUGCGUGUUUGUUUCUUCGGAGCUUCACCGGAGCCUGACUCUGGAACCGGCCUGUCUGCCUGCUGCAGUCUGGAAACGUUGUGUUCUGUUAGUCUUGGAGGCCAAGGCUGAGUGGGUUUAUCUCUGUGCCCCUCCAGUGACUUCAAAGAAUGCCAAAAGUCUCUCGAGUGUGCCUGUGUGCACACACAGACACACACAAAGUCAUUCAACAUUUAUUCAACCAAAAAUACUAAGUCAGCUCUAUACAAACUAAUGGAAGGAUACAGCUAUGCAAAUAUAGAACACUAAAGUGUUACAUGACAGAUGUAUGAGCAGAACUGGGAAGAAAGGACCCUGAAAAGUUAGCUGGUUCCAAGUGACCCUCCAAGGGGAAGAGUGCUGGAUUCAGAGCCCACCUCAGGGGAAGACAGGACCCUCUCCAAGAUGGUUUCCCUAGAAGCUACUACCUCUCCCUGGAGGGUGGAGAUAUUUGCUGGUCAAAGCAAGAAGGCCCUCUGCAGAUGCUGACACCUUGAUAUUGGACUUCCCAGAUUCCAGAACUCUGAGAAAUAAAUUUCUAUUUUAAAUAA